rnacentral:tRNA from 1 species
AGGAUAAUAGUUAAAUAUAACAUUUAAUUUGCAUUUAAAAAGUAUUGGAAUUUUAUCAAUUUAUCUU